GGUUAAUUCGAUGAUACGCGAGGACUACCGGCGUUGAAUUGCAGAGGAAGGAUUUGGAGACAAUGACGCCCUUCGGGGUCUCUGUGAAGGUGCUGCAUGGUUGUCGUCAGCUCGUGCCGUGAGGUGUCGGCUUAAGUGCCAUAACGAGCGCAACCCCUCUCCUUAGUUGCCAUCAGGUAAAGCUGGGCACUCUGGGGACACUGCCACCGUAAGGUGUGA
rnacentral:rRNA from 1 species